GACGUAGGGCGCAAGCGUUGUUCGGAAUUACUGGGCGUAAAGCGCACGUAGGCGGCUUUGUAAGUUAGAGGUGAAAGCCCGGGGCUCAACUCCGGAAUUGCCUUUAAGACUGCAUCGCUAGAAUUGUGGAGAGGUAAGGGGAAUUCCGAGUGUAGAGGUGAAAUUCGUAGAUAUUCGGAAGAACACCAGUGGCGAAGGCGACUUACUGGACACAUAUUGACGCUGAGGUGCGAAAGCGUGGGGAGCAAACAGG
rnacentral:rRNA from 1 species